rnacentral:lncRNA from 1 species
UCAACACAAGAAAUUAGGAGACUCUUGUCGGUAAAAACCCUACGGGUAUCGUAAGGCGAUGGUGAGUUGAGAAAAUAAAAAUGAGAGAGGCUUAUUGGUGAAAACCCUAAAGGCGUCACUAGUCGAAUGAGGUCUAUGAAUGCAAUUGACCUAAGAAAGCAACUUAGUUUUUAAGGUCAUUAGCUCAACAAUAAUUGGAGAG